rnacentral:rRNA from 1 species
GACGAACGCUGGCGGCGUGCUUAACACAUGCAAGUCGAACGGAAAGGCCCUGCUUUUGUGGGGUGCUCGAGUGGCGACCGGGUGAGUAACACGUGAGUAACCUGCCCUUGACUUUGGGAUAACUUCAGGAAACUGGGGCUAAUACCGGAUAGGAGCUCCUGCUGCAUGGUGGGGGUUGGUUAGUUUCGGCGGUUGGGGAUGGACGCGCGGCUUAUCAGCUUGUUGGUGGGGUAGUGGCUUACCAAGGUUUUGACGGGUAGCCGGCCUGAGAGGGUGACCGGCCACAUUGGGACGGAGAUACGGCCCAGACGCCUACGGGAGGCAGCAGUGGGGAAUAUUGCACAAGGGGCGGAAGCCUGAUGCAGCAACGCCGCGUGCGGGAUGACGGCCUUCGGGUUGUAAACCGCUUUCGCCUGUGACGAAGCGUGAGUGACGGUAAUGGGUAAAGAAGCACCGGCUAACUACGUG